UUUGCAGCAGCUUGCAACACCCUGCUCUGAACAUCAGUUGAAGAAGGUGAAGUUGGUAGUCCAUUACGGUUUGUUUCCAACUUGCCAGCUGCCCAUGUCAUUGCCUGGCCUCCUAGAAUAACUGGGGCCAAAAGUUGUCUCACAUCUUGUUUAAGAUCUUCUGAAUCCUCAUACGAAGAAAUUCGACGGUAUAAAGUCUGACAUAGGCCAAAAACUCCAACGUAUUGUAGUGUUUUCUCCCACUCAACCAAUGCAUAUGCUGCUGCUACCAAACCCACUCCAUAUCCAACAACUUGUAGUGGUGUUGGGUUGAUUUCCUCAAAAAUUGCCUCAGCUUCCUCAUUGAGGAUUGUCAAUGUAGUCUCAGGUUUCAACUCCUUAAUACGGAGGCCCUCUUCAACCCAAGACCGAAAGCCACCUUGGACCAAAUAUGGUCUCUUGAUUCCAAGUCUCCGGAGUGACCUUGCAACGCCCUUGGAACGGUUACCGUCAGCAUCCAUAACUAUAACCUGAGACCUGUCUUGAACAAUCUUCAAAUUCCUAAUGACAGCAGCUAGCAGGUAGUCAUCAAGUUCUCUUCCACUCUUGAAUAGCUUCCUUGUAGAUCCAUCAAUCUCAGGUAGUGUUACAUUGGCAAAACGAAACCGAGCAGCGCGUCGAAGAUCAGGAAUGCCUUCUUUCUCUCUGAGAUCCUCAGGCCGGAUAUCAAUGAGUACAGCCUUCCUGUCUCCUUUCAGAAGCUCAAAGCUUGACUUGGGAGAUAAAUCACCAGCGUAUCCACCAUAGGUCAAUUUCCAAUAAAAAGCCCAAAAAGCAGUUGAUACCCCAAGGAAAAGGAUAAAUGGAAUAAUUGGGUCACUUGGAUCCAAGCCAAGACUCCUCUCCAGACCCUCCAAAGCAACAUAGCCCUGUCCCAGAGCGGUCCCAAAUGGAGUAAGAAGCUUCACUGCGCGCUCUUCAGACACAUUUAGCAGAUCCUGGACUUCCAUAGGGAGCACCUCCUUCACAGACCCGUAAGAAAACACAACAAGUGUGGCACCUCGCGAUACCAAAUCCUCAAAAAUGAGAAUUAUAUGUCUCAAUCCAUCAAUAGCUAGAAGCCCAACUCUACCAGAGACUUCUUUCAAGCCAGUUGAAAAGGCUGCUACACCAUUACCUGCUGAAUCCCCUGUUUUGUCCACUGUGGAUGUUAAUUUACUAAUUACAUCAUCAACUGCCUGAGUAGCACCUCUAACAGCUGA
rnacentral:misc_RNA from 1 species